CAUUUGAGUCUGGGAUUUCUGAAUGGGGAAACCCACGUGCAUAAGCACGUAUCCUUACCUGAAUACAUAGGGUAAGGAGGCGAACCGGGGGAACUGAAACAUCUAAGUACCCCGAGGAAAAGAAAUCAACCGAGAUUCCGAAAGUAGCGGCGAGCGAAAUUGGACUAGCCCUUAAGCUUUACACGCGUUAGACGAACGGUCUGGAAAGUCCGACGAUACAGGGUGAUAGUCCCGUAGUUGACGACGUGUGUUCAGUGAAAUCGAGUAAGGCGGGACACGUGAUAUCCUGUCUGAAUAUGGGGGGACCAUCCUCCAAGGCUAAAUACUACUGACUGACCGAUAGUGAACCAGUACCGUGAGGGAAAGGCGAAAAGAACCCCUGUGAGGGGAGUGAAAUAGAACCUGAAACCGUGUACGUACAAGCAGUAGGAGCAGGCUUUGUCCUGUGACUGCGUACCUUUUGUAUAAUGGGUCAGCGACUUAUAUUCAGUGGCAAGGUUAACCAUCUAGGGGAGCCGUAGGGAAACCGAGUCUUAACUGGGCGUUCAGUCUCUGGAUAUAGACCCGAAACCAGGUGAUCUAGCCAUGGGCAGGUUGAAGGUUGAGUAACAUCAACUGGAGGACCGAACCGACUAAUGUUGAAAAAUUAGCGGAUGACUUGUGGCUAGGGGUGAAAGGCCAAUCAAACCUGGAGAUAGCUGGUUCUCCCCGAAAGCUAUUUAGGUAGCGCCUCGGACGAAUACUACUGGGGGUAGAGCACUGUUAAGGCUAGGGGGUCAUCCCGACUUACCAACCCUUUGCAAACUCCGAAUACCAGUAAGUACUAUCCGGGAGACACACGGCGGGUGCUAACGUCCGUCGUGGAGAGGGAAACAACCCAGACCGCCAGCUAAGGUCCCAAAUUACUACUAAGUGGGAAACGAUGUGGGAAGGCUCAGACAGCCAGGAUGUUGGCUUAGAAGCAGCCAUCAUUUAAAGAAAGCGUAAUAGCUCACUGGUCGAGUCGGCCUGCGCGGAAGAUGUAACGGGGCUAAGUAGUAAACCGAAGCUGCGGCAAUAUACUUUUGUAUAUUGGGUAGGGGAGCGUUCUGUAAGCGGUUGAAGGUGUGUGGUAACGCAUGCUGGACGUAUCAGAAGUGCGAAUGCUGACAUGAGUAACGAUAAAGGGGGUGAAAAACCUCCUCGCCGGAAGACCAAGGGUUCCUGUCCAACGUUAAUCGGGGCAGGGUAAGUCGACCCCUAAGGCGAGGCCGAAAGGCGUAGUCGAUGGGAAACGGGUUAAUAUUCCCGUACUUCUUACAAUUGCGAUGGGGGGACGGAGAAGGCUAGGUGGGCCUGGCGACGGUUGUCCAGGUUCAAGUGCGUAGGCUUAAGAGUUAGGUAAAUCCGGCUCUUUUUAAGGCUGAGACACGACGUCGAGCACCUACGGGUGUGAAGUCAUUGAUGCCAUGCUUCCAGGAAAAGCCUCUAAGCUUCAGAUUGUAAGGAAUCGUACCCCAAACCGACACAGGUGGUCGGGUAGAGAAUACCAAGGCGCUUGAGAGAACUCGGGUGAAGGAACUAGGCAAAAUGGUACCGUAACUUCGGGAGAAGGUACGCUCUCGACGGUGAAGUCCCUCGCGGAUGGAGCUAUUGAGAGUCGCAGAUACCAGGUGGCUGCAACUGUUUAUUAAAAACACAGCACUGUGCAAAAUCGUAAGAUGACGUAUACGGUGUGACGCCUGCCCGGUGCCGGAAGGUUAAUUGAUGGGGUUAGACUUCGGUCGAAGCUCUUGAUCGAAGCCCCGGUAAACGGCGGCCGUAACUAUAACGGUCCUAAGGUAGCGAAAUUCCUUGUCGGGUAAGUUCCGACCUGCACGAAUGGCGUAAUGAUGGCCACGCUGUCUCCACCCGAGACUCAGUGAAAUUGAAAUCGCUGUGAAGAUGCAGUGUACCCGCGGCUAGACGGAAAGACCCCGUGAACCUUUACUACAGCUUGGCACUGAACAUUGACCCUACAUGUGUAGGAUAGGUGGGAGGCUUUGAAGCACGUACGCCAGUAUGUGUGGAGCCGUCCUUGAAAUACCACCCUUGUAGUGUUGAUGUUCUAACGUCGACCCCUUAUCGGGGUUGCGGACAGUGCCUGGUGGGUAGUUUGACUGGGGCGGUCUCCUCCCAAAGAGUAACGGAGGAGCACGAAGGUGGGCUAAUCACGGUUGGACAUCGUGAGGUUAGUGCAAUGGCAUAAGCCCGCUUGACUGCGAGAAUGACAAUUCGAGCAGGUGCGAAAGCAGGUCAUAGUGAUCCGGUGGUUCUGAAUGGAAGGGCCAUCGCUCAACGGAUAAAAGGUACUCCGGGGAUAACAGGCUGAUACCGCCCAAGAGUUCAUAUCGACGGCGGUGUUUGGCACCUCGAUGUCGGCUCAUCACAUCCUGGGGCUGAAGUCGGUCCCAAGGGUAUGGCUGUUCGCCAUUUAAAGUGGUACGCGAGCUGGGUUUAGAACGUCGUGAGACAGUUCGGUCCCUAUCUGCCGUGGGCGUUGGAAGAUUGAAGGGGGCUGCUCCUAGUACGAGAGGACCGGAGUGGACGAACCUCUGGUGUUCGGGUUGUGUCGCCAGACGCAUUGCCCGGUAGCUAAGUUCGGAAUCGAUAACCGCUGAAAGCAUCUAAGCGGGAAGCGAGCCCUGAGAUGAGUCUUCCCUGAUACUUUAAGUAUCCUAAAGGGUUGU
rnacentral:rRNA from 1 species